GAUGAACGCUGGCGGCGUGCCUAAUACAUGCAAGUCGAGCGAACGGACGAGAAGCUUGCUUCUCUGAUGUUAGCGGCGGACGGGUGAGUAACACGUGGAUAACCUACCUAUAAGACUGGGAUAACUUCGGGAAACCGGAGCUAAUACCGGAUAAUAUUUUGAACCGCAUGGUUCAAAAGUGAAAGACGGUCUUGCUGUCACUUAUAGAUGGAUCCGCGCUGCAUUAGCUAGUUGGUAAGGUAACGGCUUACCAAGGCAACGAUGCAUAGCCGACCUGAGAGGGUGAUCGGCCACACUGGAACGGAGACACGGUCCAGACUCCUACGGGAGGCAGCAGUAGGGAAUCUUCCGCAAUGGGCGAAAGCCUGACGGAGCAACGCCGCGUGAGUGAUGAAGGUCUUCGGAUCGUAAAACUCUGUUAUUAGGGAAGAACAUAUGUGUAAGUAACUGUGCACAGCUUGACGGUACCUAAUCAGAAAGCCACGGCUAACUACGUG
rnacentral:rRNA from 1 species